UACAGAGGGUGCGAGCGGUAAUCGGAAUUACUGGGCGUAAAGCGUGCGUAGACGGUCAUGUAAGUCGGGUGUGAAAUCCCCGGGCUCAACCUGGGAAUUGGAUUCGAGACUGCGUGGCUAGGGUGCGGAAGAGGGAAGCGGAAUUUCCGGUGUAGCGGUGAAAUGCGUAGAUAUCGGAAGGAACAUCAGUGGCGAAAGCGGCUUCCUGGUCCAGCACCGACGUUCAGGCUCGAAAGCGUGGGGAGCAAACAGG
rnacentral:rRNA from 1 species